CUCUCGGCAACGGAUAUCUUGGCCCUCGCAUCGAUGAAGAACGCAGCAAAAUGCGAUACUUGGUGUGAAUUGCAGAAUCCCGUGAACCAUCGAGUCUUUGAACGCAAGUUGCGCCCGAAGCCGUGACGCUGAGGGCAUGCCUGCUUGGGC
rnacentral:rRNA from 1 species